rnacentral:rRNA from 1 species
UACGUAGGGGCGAGCGUUGUCUGGAUUUAUUGGCGUAAAGAGCGUGUAGGCGGCCAGGUAGGUCUGCUGUGAAACUCGAGGCUCAACCUCGAGACGUCGGCGGAAACCAUCUGGCUAGAGUCCGGAAGAGGAGAGUGGAAUUCCUGGUGUAGCGGUGAAAUGCGCAGAUAUCAGGAAGAACACCCGUGGCGAAGGCGGCUCUCUGGGACGGUACUGACGCUGAGACGCGAAAGCGUGGGGAGCGAACAGG